rnacentral:rRNA from 1 species
AUACGUAGGUGGCAAGCGUUGUCCGGAUUUAUUGGGCGUAAAGCGAGCGCAGGCGGUUUUUUAAGUCUGAUGUGAAAGCCUUCGGCUUACGACGAAGAGGCAUCGGAAACUGGGAGACUUGAGUGCAGAAGAGGAGAGUGGAACUCCAUGUGUAGCGGUGAAAUGCGUAGAUAUAUGGAAGAACACCAGUGGCGAAGGCGGCUCUCUGGUCUGUAACUGACGCUGAGGCUCGAAAGCGUGGGUAGC